ensembl:lncRNA
ACUGGAGUCUCAUUCAAACGCUGGAGUGGAGGGAGUUGCCAUGGAAACGGGGCGACAACACCAACUGACAAACUUCUCUCGCAGCUGUUUUCACUUCUUUCAGAAGAGAAGCUCCAAAAUGUCAAAGUUUCUGAAGGGAGCUGCUGACAGUAAUGUAGGAAACACAGAUUCUUCUAUAAUGAUGGUGUUCAGCAGAGUUGGAGCAGACCUCCUGUCGGACAACAUCUCUAAGGCGCUAUGAACCAUAUGACUUUUUCUGACAAGAACGAGGCAGGAGAGUUUUCAGUAAGGGCAAGAUGCUUCAGGUCGAUGAGGAAAAAUGAGAGACCACAUAAGUGUAAGGGAAUGAGAUCAGGUUCAAAGUAAUAAGUAUUACAGUGUUUACUCUAGCAUAACAAAAUCGUUUAUUAAGUGCAGCAUAGC